rnacentral:rRNA from 1 species
AUGCACGCUGGCGGCGUGCCUAAUCCAUGCAAGUCGAGCGAACAGAUAAGGAGCUUGCUCCUUUGACGUUAGCGGCGGACGGGUGAGUAACACGUGGAUAACCUACCUAUAAGACUGGGAUAACUUCGGGAAACCGGAGCUAAUACCGGAUAACAUAUUGAACCGCAUGGUUCAAUAGUGAAAGGCGGCUUUGCUGUCACUUAUAGAUGGAUCCGCGCCGUAUUAGCUAGUUGGUAAGGUAACGGCUUACCAAGGCAACGAUACGUAGCCGACCUGAGAGGGUGAUCGGCCACACUGGAACUGAGACACGGUCCAGACUCCUACGGGAGGCAGCAGUAGGGAAUCUUCCGCAAUGGGCGAAAGCCUGACGGAGCAACGCCGCGUGAGUGAUGAAGGUCUUCGGAUCGUAAAACUCUGUUAUCAGGGAAGAACAAAUGUGUAAGUAACUGUGCACAUCUUGACGGUACCUGAUCAGAAAGCCACGGCUAACUACGUG